UGAAUGAGCUACUGAGCUUAAAGAAAGGCCUACGCAAUUUACGGAUGACAUAACGCAAGCUAUUGCAAAAACAGCAUGCAAAUACAUUAGUUCGAAAUCAGUUAUUCGAGUGCUGAAGUUACGCGCCGAUGUUGCCAGGGCUUAAAACAGUGAUGCCACAGUAGUUAUCAGUAUAUUUCAAGCCUGAACCUAGGAGAAACUGCUUAACUGUGGGAAACGUGCGGACA
rnacentral:lncRNA from 1 species